GUAUAAGUUUUAUAGGCACAAGGGCCUAAUGAUUCAUUCUGUUACAUACAAUGGGGUAUAUGAAAAACAUAGGCUUGGAAAUGCAAGGACAGCCGGCUGGAUGCCAGCAGUCCUCCCGACCGAGUUGCCUCGGAAAGUCAAGUCCAAGUCUACAAGAGGUGCACAGGUGGAGAGAUGAGGAUGGUGGGUGUGCACAUGCCCCCGAGAGGGCCAGCAACAACCACACCAAGUUCAUUCAAUAAUGAUCCUUCCGCAGGUUCACCUACGGAAA
rnacentral:misc_RNA from 1 species